CUUUAUCUUAGAUUUUCACAUUCAAUGACAGAAGACAAUAAAGCUAUGUGCCCCGGAAAUGGACUCCCAAACCCCGCACUAAGGAAGUUGCGUCCAGGGCUAAAAGCAAUGGCCUCUGAUGUGCACAAGAGAGGGUCGGCAGCAUUGGGGACCAGCUCUGGCAGCAGCGGGCAGCACCUGGCUUAGGCUGUGGGUCCUCCACGGUGACCCCCAGGCCCAAGAGAGGAGGAGACCAGGAAGUCUGAAGCCACAGCAGCUGGUCAUGAAGUCAUUAAUUACAUAGCAAGUGCCAAUAAAAUGGUCUUGGUCUUCCUCAUCAUAUCCAGAGCCCAGGGCUGUGGGACUGCAGAGCCCAGGGCUUCUGUUGUGUGCCGGCUGCCUUGCUCCAUCUGGGCUUCAACACCCCCGCACAACUGCCCACCUCCUGGACAGCGGAACUGUCACAGCACAGGAAGUCCAGCCCUGCUACCUACCCACAGGUGGCCUCAGCAAAGCCAUUCCACCCUUCCCACCACAAAGGGCAGGGGUGACUCAAGGCCCAGACAUGCAAGGGGACCCAAGAGGUCUUUGGAGAGCAUCGGCACUGCCCUACAUCACUCUGGCGUGUGAAGCUCACUCCUUCCCUCGGCAUGGACACAGUUCCUGAAUUUCACUUCCCCCUGCAAGACUCUGAAACCGCCUCCCUGGACAAGCUGGAGGUGGAGAGUCCUCGCUUUGAAGCCCAGUAAAUUUGGUGUGAAUCACAGCUCAGCCACUCACUAGUUGUGUGACCCAGGUGACCUGGCCAACAGCUCAGAGCCUCAGUUUGCCCGGACAUUAAAGGAGAUUAGAUUGUCUACCCCAUGUGUCUUGUCAUGGGAUUUAAGAUUGACAGCACGGAUAAGGUGCCCCAGAUGUCCCUGCUGCCACCCUUUUCCUUAUUGUCCCGCGUACUGUUCCCUGCUGACCCACUCCUGACCCUGCCCAGGUCGGUUGCAGCUGGUGGCCUUGCACCGCCAGGCUGCCCCUCUGGGCUCAGUCCUUGACCAGCUGGGACAGGCUGCAAGUCCUGUGCCACUUCUAGGCCCCUGGCCAUUUAACCCUGUUCUCAGCCCUGUGGUGUCGGGUCCCAGAUUCCUGCCACUUGGGAGAGUGGGGCUGGGCUGCACUCUGGAGAGAGCCCU